UACGUAGGGUGCGAGCGUUGUCCGGAAUUACUGGGCGUAAAGAGCUCGUAGGUGGUUUGUCGCGUUGUUCGUGAAAACUCACAGCUUAACUGUGGGCGUGCGGGCGAUACGGGCAGACUGGAGUACUGCAGGGGAGACUGGAAUUCCUGGUGUAGCGGUGAAAUGCGCAGAUAUCAGGAGGAACACCGGUGGCGAAGGCGGGUCUCUAGGCCGACACUGACGCUGAGGAGCGAAAGCGUGGGGAGCGAACAGG
rnacentral:rRNA from 1 species